GACGAACGCUGGCGGCGUGCUUAACACAUGCCAGUCGAACGGAAAGGCCCGGCUUUUGUGGCGUUCUCGAUUGGCGAACGGGUGAGUAACACGUGAGUAACCUGCCCUUGACUGUGUGGUAACUCCUGGAAACUGGGGCUAAUACCGGGUAUGAUCUCUUGCUGCAUGGUGGUGGAUGGAAAGUUUCGGCGGUUGGGGAUGGACUCGCUGCUUAUCGGCUUGUUUGGGGGGUAGGGGCUUACCAGGGCUUUGACGGGAAGCCGGCCUAAGAGGGUGACCGGGCACCUUGGGCCUGAGAUACGGAGCAGAAUCGUACGGGCGGCAGCAGGGGGGAAUAUUGCGCAAUGGGCGGAAGCGUGAUGUAGCGGCGCCGCGUGCGGGAUGACGGCCUUCGGGUGGUAAACCGAUUUCGACUGUGACGAAGCGUGAGUGACGGUACCGGGUAAAGAAGCACCGGCUAACUACGUG
rnacentral:rRNA from 1 species